GAGAGUGGCGGAAGGGUGAGUAACGCGUGGACAACCUACCUUAAAGUUGGGGAUAACGUCUGGAAACGGACGCUAAUACCGAAUGUGGUACCUGGUCGCAUGACUGGGUUACUAAAGAUGGGGACCCUUCGGGGCCUGUCGCUUAAAGAGGGGUCCGCGUACGAUUAGCUAGUUGGUGAGGUAACGGCCCACCAAGGCGAUGAUCGUUAGCUGGUCUGAGAGGAUGAUCAGCCACACUGGGACUGAGACACUGCCCAGACUCCUACGGGAGGCUGCAGUCGAGAAUCAUUCGCAAUGCGGGAAACCGUGACGAUGCGACGCUGCGUGGAGGAUGACGGCCUUAGGGUUGUAAACUCCUGUCAUGAGGGAAAAGACACCUUGCGGUUAAUAACCGCGAGGCUCGAUGGUACCUCAAGAGGAAGCCACGGCUAACUCUGUGCCAGCAGCCGCGGUAAUACAGAGGUGGCGAGCGUUGUUCGGAUUUACUGGGCGUAAAGCGUGCGUAGGUGGUCUGGUUAGUCGGAUGUGAAAUCCCGGGGCUCAACCCCGGAACUGCAUCCGAAACUGCCAGACUAGAGUCCAGGAGGGGAGAGCGGAAUUCAGAGUGUAGCGGUGAAAUGCGUUGAUAUUCUGAAGAACACCGGCGGCGAAGGCGGCUCUCUGGAAUGGAACUGACACUGAGGCACGAAAGCGUGGGUAGCAAACAGGAUUAGAUACCCUGUAGUCCACGCCGUAAACGUUGCACACUUGGUGUGGGAGGUAUUUGACCCCUUUCGUGCCGUAACUUAACGCGUUAAGUGUGCCGCCU
rnacentral:rRNA from 1 species